CACGUAGUUAGCCGGUGCUUCUUAUCUACCUACCGUCACCACCAAAGGUGGCUUCGUCGAUAGCGAAAGGAGUUUACAACCCGAAGGCCGUCAUCCCCCACGCGGCGUCGCUGCAUCAGGCUUGCGCCCAUUGUGCAAUAUUCCCCACUGCUGCCUCCCGUAGGAGUCUGGGCCGUAUCUCAGUCCCAAUGUGUCCGCACACCCUCUCAGGCCGGAUACCCGUCGCCGCCUUGGUUGGCCAUUACCCCACCAACAAGCUGAUAGGCCGCAGGCUCAUCCCACACCGCAAAAGCUUUCCACCACAACAUCCAAGAAGUGGUCCUAUAUGGUAUUAGACCCAGUUUCCCAAGCUUAUCCCAUAGUGCAGGGCAGAUCACCCACGUGUUACUCACCCGUUCGCCACUCGAGUACCUGUACAAGUACAGGCCUUUCCGUUCGACUUGCAUGUGUUAAGCACGCCGCCAGCGUUCAUCCUGAGCCAGGAUCAAACUCU
rnacentral:rRNA from 1 species